GAUGAACGCUGGCGGCGUGCCUAAUACAUGCAAGUCGAGCGAACGGACGAGAAGCUUGCUUCUCUGAUGUUAGCGGCGGACGGGUGAGUAACACGUGGAUAACCUACCUAUAAGACUGGGAUAACUUCGGGAAACCGGAGCUAAUACCGGAUAAUAUUUUGAACCGCAUGGUUCAAAAGUGAAAGACGGUCUUGCUGUUACUUAUAGCUGGAUCCGCGCUGCAUUAGCUAGUUGGUAAGGUAACGGCUUACCAAGGCAACGAUGCAUAGCCGACCUGAGAGGGUGAUCGGCCACACUGGAACUGAGACACGGUCCAGACUCCUACGGGAGGCAGCAGUAGGGAAUCUUGCGCAAUGGGCGAAAGCCUGACGGAGCAACGCCGCGUGAGUGAUGAAGGUCUUCGGAUCGUAAAACUCUGUUAUUGGGGAAGAACAUAUGUGUAAGUAACUGUGCACAUCUUGACGGUACCUAAUCAGAAAGCCACGGCUAACUACGUG
rnacentral:rRNA from 1 species